GACCCGAAUUUCUCGUUCAGCCUCUGUCCAGAUAUCUCUCUGCUCUCUACUUCGUGUUCUAGCAACUUUACUCCAUCUUUCCCAAAUCAAAGCCUACAUCGUCCAUAUUCUUCCCAAAUAAUCCACAAUGCACAAAAAAUUACACAAUAUUUAAGUGCUUUGGUUGUUACAUGUGAUUGAUUCGGUUGUAGUUACUAUUUUUGAGCGAAGAACCCUUAAAUCAAGAUUUCAGACAGAAUCAAAGGACUAUGUACAUGGAUAUGCAAUAUACAAAGACUGUUAGAAUAAACUUUUUAAGGAAGAGGAUAGCACUGCAAUACUCUGACCGACGCAGAUGAAGGUUGAUAACUCAUUCGCAAAACAGGACGCACCCAUACUGGAAUGCAAGUCUGAUAAUCAAA